UUGGAGGGCAAGUCUGGUGCCAGCAGCCGCGGUAAUUCCAGCUCCAAUAGCGUAUAUUAAAGUUGUUGCAGUUAAAAAGCUCGUAGUUGAAUUUCGGGGUUAGUAGGUUGGUCAUGCCUCUGGUAUGUACUGGUCUCACUGAUUCCUCCUUCCUGAUGAACCUUAAUGCCAUUAAUUUGGUGUUUUGGGGAAUUUGGACUGUUACUUUGAAAAAAUUAGAGUGUUUAAAGCAAGCUAACGCUUGAAUACAUUAGCAUGGAAUAAUGAAAUAGGACGUUCGAUCCUAUUUUGUUGGUUUCUAGGAUUGACGUAAUGAUUAAUAGGGAUAGUUGGGGGCAUAGUAUUCAAUUGUCAGAGGUGAAAUUCUUGGAUUUAUUGAAGACUAACUACUGCGAAAGCAUUUGCCAAGGAUGUUUUCAUUAAUCAAGAACGAAAGUUAGGGGGUCGAAGACGAUCAGAUACCGUCGUAGUCUUAACCAUAAACUAUGCCGACUAGGGAUCGGAUGAUGUUAAUUUUUUAAUGACUCAUUCGGCGCCUUACGGGAAAC
rnacentral:rRNA from 1 species